rnacentral:rRNA from 1 species
AAAGUUAGUGGCGGACGGGUGAGUAACACGUGGGCAACCUGCCUGUAAGUUGGGGAUAACUCCGGGAAACCGGGGCUAAUACCGAAUGAUAAAGUGUGGCGCAUGCCACGCUUUUGAAAGAUGGUUUCGGCUAUCGCUUACAGAUGGGCCCGCGGUGCAUUAGCUAGUUGGUAGGGUAAUGGCCUACCAAGGCAACGAUGCAUAGCCGACCUGAGAGGGUGAUCGGCCACACUGGGACUGAGACACGGCCCAGACUCCUACGGGAGGCAGCAGUAGGGAAUCUUCCGCAAUGGACGAAAGUCUGACGGAGCAACGCCGCGUGUAUGAAGAAGGUUUUCGGAUCGUAAAGUACUGUUGUUAGAGAAGAACAAGGAUAAGAGUAACUGCUUGUCCCUUGACGGUAUCUAACCAGAAAGCCACGGCUAACUACGUGCCAGCAGCCGCGGUAAUACGUAGGUGGCAAGCGUUGUCCGGAUUUAUUGGGCGUAAAGCGCGCGCAGGCG